AGCAUAUGUGAAUAUUAAGUAGACCUAUUGUUUAAAUCAAAUUUAUGGUUUAAAAGUAGAGUAAUCAUAGCAGUUUUCAUCCAUAAUAUGUCCGUUUAAACAGCAGAUUAGAGUUUCACUUAUCCAAAGAUGUUCUGAGGGCAGAAAGGAAAAUGAUUGGUUCACAGAUUGACCCAAUGAAAAUACGGCAGAGGCGGGGCCUAGGCUUUUUGAAAUGUGGAGGAAAAAGUUCGCAGACUUAGCACAGAUACUUUGGAGACUUCGUGGGAUUGAUUGCUGUUGUAAGUUACCUGGAGGAGUUGCAAAAUCUGGACAAAUCAAAGGAGCUAACACUGAAGAUCUGAUACUGCCGAGUCCAAAAUGGUGCAAAAAUGGAGAUGUAUGAAAAACGGUGUAAGUUUGGAUCCACCUGAUAAAAGCACAUAAUAGCCAGAUUCAGUCGGUAACUGUUAAUUAUGGGGAUGCAAGCGAUUUUCAACAUUUACAGGGCCAUCCGAAUCCAGAAUGUUGGUGUUUUUCUCCCACCACCCUCGAAAUUCCCAGCGAAAUUACAUGCUGUUUUUUAGGCACCAAAGUUGUGUGGUCGAAGAAAUCGAUUCAAAAUGAACAACAAAAAUAUUUCAUAACUUCUCCAGCACAGCGGAUAGGAGCUGUUAAGAACAAAAAGACAAGAAAAGUACUUAAACAUUUUAAAUUAGUCAUUAUAAUGGCAGUAAUAUGUAUGCAAUAAAAUUUUAAAAUAUAGGCCUACAAUUACAUACAUAAAAAUAUAAACCAAGCAGCCUUGUCAUUAUAGUCCCUCAUGUCCGCUGCGUUCUCAAAACUUUGAAAAUACCCAAAAUAUCAAAAUCAACUGUGGCGGCAGAUAAUUUUCUUAUUUAGCGCCCACACUCUGGAACAAUCUACCCAACACUGUUCAGGAGGCAGACACACUCUGUCAGUUUAAAUCUAGAUUAAAGACCCAUCUCUUUAACCCGGCCAACACAACACAUUAACACAUUUCUAUAAUUCAAGUCCAUUAAAGGAUGGUUAGGCUGCAUUAAUUAGGUCAACCGGAACCGGGAAUAAUUUUCCAUAACACCUGAUGUACUCAUUGCAUCGUAAGAAGAAUGGCAUCUACACUAAUAUUAGUCUGUUUCUUUCUUAUUCCAAGGUCACCAGAUGAUGGAUCAGCACCUAGAGAUGACCUCUACCUCCCUAAAUGUCCUAAAUGAGUCCUCUGCAAUCUGACUUUGCUGCAACAUGGAACUUUUGCAUUAUUGACACACUAUUGUCCUAUUUAAAAACUGUGAAGUUGCUUUGACACAACCUGUUUUGUUAAAAAGCGCUGUAUAAAUAAACGUGAUUGAUUUACCUCAUGUAAAUAAGAGGUUGCAUGCAACUUAUUUCUGCUAAUCUUCACAUUUCUCAUGACACCUAUCAUUUGGAGAGAUAAAAUUUAAGAAAACCAUUUCAGCUAUAGUGGGUCUAUUUUUGAACUUGAGAUUUAAAUAAACAACAUAUUAUUAAAUUUAAAUUUAUUCUUAAUCCAAACAUGUGACAUUUAAUUUAUAGCAGACAACUAUGCAACAGGCCAUAUGAGCAGUGCAUUCCUGGGUUCAUAUGAUCACACUG